rnacentral:rRNA from 1 species
UACGGAGGGUCCAAGCGUUAUCCGGAAUCAUUGGGUUUAAAGGGUCCGUAGGCGGUUUUGUAAGUCAGUGGUGAAAGCCCAUCGCUCAACGGUGGAACGGCCAUUGAUACUGCAAGACUUGAAUUAUUGGGAAGUAACUAGAAUAUGUAGUGUAGCGGUGAAAUGCUUAGAGAUUACAUGGAAUACCAAUUGCCGAAGGCAGG